CAGGUCAGUCAUCCCGUCAAACAACCCAAGCAGCAGCAGCACUCUCCUCUAGUAUUCUAGCUCUGGCUUCAGUUCUUGUCGCCUCGCUGUGCUGUGCUUGUAGGUACAACAGUCAAUGCCGAGUUUCUAACACUUUCAGUUUGCGAAACAGAGAAUUCGCAGUCCGGGUCGCCGACUUCGGUCUUUUCUUUUCUUCUUCACCACCAAGACCAGACAUCACCGCAUAAACAAACAUGGCCGACACAGCAGCCGUCGCCAAGGGCGUCGAGAACCUCUCCGUCUCCGCCUCCAAGACCAAGGAGCUCAAGGGCACCGAAAAGAGAGACACCCUCAUCGAGAUCGAGAAGAGGUACCAGCAAAAAUGGGAGCAGGAGGGCGUCUUCGAGGUCGAUGCCCCCUCCACCGCCGAGUUCCCUCUCGACGCCAUUACCCCCGAUGAGCUGCGCCAAAAGCACCCCAAGUUCUUCGGCACCAUUGCCUACCCCUACAUGAACGGCCGCCUCCACGCCGGCCACGCCUUCAGCUUCUCCAAGAUCGAGUACCACACCGGCUUCGCCCGCAUGCAGGGCAAGCGCGCCCUCUU
rnacentral:precursor_RNA from 1 species